rnacentral:rRNA from 1 species
UACGUAGGUGGCAAGCGUUGUCCGGAAUCACUGGGCGUAAAGCGCGCGCAGGCGGCGAUCUACGUCUGGGGUGAAAGCCCGGAGCUCAACUCCGGGACUGCCUUGGAUACGGGAUCGCUUGAGAAUUGGAGAGGCAAGGGGAAUUCCACGUGUAGCGGUGAAAUGCGUAGAUAUCGGGAGGAACAUCAGUGGCGAAGGCGGCUACCUGGCCCAAUACUGACACUCAGGUGCGACAGCGUGGGGAGCAAACAGG